AGACGCUGGCGGCUGCCUAACACAUGCAAGUCGAACGAAGGCUUCGGCCUUAGUGGCGCACGGGUGCGUAACGCGUGGGAAUCUGCCCUCAGGUUCGGAAUAACAGCGAGAAAUUGCCGCUAAUACCGGAUGAUAUCGCGAGAUCAAAGAUUUAUCGCCUGAGGAUGAGCCCGCGUAGGAUUAGCUAGUAGGUGUGGUAAAGGCGCACCAAGGCGACGAUCCUUAGCUGGUCUGAGAGGAUGAUCAGCCACACUGGGACUGAGACACGGCCCAGACUCCUACGGGAGGCAGCAGUGGGGAAUAUUGGACAAUGGGCGAAAGCCUGAUCCAGCAAUGCCGCGUGAGUGAUGAAGGCCUUAGGGUUGUAAAGCUCUUUUACCCGGGAUGAUAAUGACAGUACCGGGAGAAUAAGCUCCGGCUAACUCCGUGCCAGCAGCCGCGGUAAUACGGAGGGAGCUAGCGUUAUUCGGAAUUACUUGGGCGUAAAGCGCACGUAGGCGGCUUUGUAAGUUAGAGGUGAAAGCCUGGAGCUCAACUCCAGAAUUGCCUUUAAGACUGCAUCGCUUGAAUCCAGGAGAGGUGAGUGGAAUCCCCGAGUGUAGAGGUGAAAUUCGUAGAUAUUCGGAAGAACACCAGUGGCGAAGGCGGCUCACUGGACUGGUAUUGACGCUGAGGUGCGAAAGCGUGGGGGCAA
rnacentral:rRNA from 1 species